UGGGGAAUAUUGGGCAAUGGGGGAAACCCUGACCCAGCAACGCCGCGUGAAGGAAGAAGGCCUUCGGGUUGUAAACUUCUUUUACCAGGGACGAAAAAAGUGACGGUACCUGGAGAAAAAGCAACGGCUAACUACGUGCCAGCAGCCGCGGUAAUACGUAGGUUGCAAGCGUUGUCCGGAUUUACUGGGUGUAAAGGGAGCGCAGGCGGACCGGCAAGUUGGAAGUGAAAACUAUGGGCUCAACCCAUAAAUUGCUUUCAAAACUGCUGGCCUUGAGUAGUGCAGAGGUAGGUGGAAUUCCCGGUGUAGCGGUGGAAUGCGUAGAUAUCGGGAGGAACACCAGUGGCGAAGGCGACCUACUGGGCACCAACUGACGCUGAGGCUCGAAAGCAUGGGUAGCAAACAGGAUUAGAUACCCUGGUAGUCCAUGCCGUAAACGAUGAUUACUAGGUGUGGGGGGACUGACCCCUUCCGUGCCGCAGUUAACACAAUAAGUAUUCCACCUGGGGAGUACGACCGCAAGGUUGAAACUCAAAGGAAUUGACGGGGGCCCGCACAAGCAGUGGAGUAUGUGGUUUAAUUCGAAGCAACGCGAAGAACCUUACCAGGUCUUGACAUCCGAUGCAUAGCACAGAGAUGUGUGAAAUCCUUCGGGACAUCGAGACAGGUGGUGCAUGGUUGUCGUCAGCUCGUGUCGUGAGAUGUUGGGUUAAGUCCCGCAACGAGCGCAACCCCUAUUGUUAGUUGCUACGCAAGAGCACUCUAGCGAGACUGCCGUUGACAAAACGGAGGAAGGUGGGGACGACGUCAAAUCAUCAUGCCCCUUAUGUCCUGGGCUACACACGUAAUACAAUGGCGUCCAACAAAGGGAAGCAAAGCCGCGAGGCAGAGCAAAUCCCCAAAAGACGUCUCAGUUCGGAUUGCAGGCUGCAACUCGCCUGUAUGAAGUCGGAAUUGCUAGUAAUCGUGGAUCAGCAUGCCACGGUGAAUACGUUCCC
rnacentral:rRNA from 1 species